ensembl:lncRNA
CGGUGUAAUUUUAAAAGCAAGUUUGCCAGUUCUUUUUUUAUCCAAGUGAUUUUUUAGCCGGGAGAGAUUGGAGUUGCUGUUUGGUAAUGGAAGAUGAAGGGAGGAAAAGCAAGUAAAAGGCAUGCUGUGCAUAGCCACCACAUGCCAUGGGCACCGUUGUCGUCCUGCACAAAGGAGGAGCAGCUCAGCAAGUUUGGCCUGGGCCGUGGGAGGGAGCAUACAAACAUCUGGACCAACCGGAAACGAGUUAGUUCUGCAGGUUGGUUGUUUUCUGCUAUUUGUCCCCCGUCCUGUUGCUCAGCGGUAGAUUUGUUCCCGUUCAGUGCUAGCAGGAAUGUCCCCG